UACGGAGGGUGCGAGCGUUGUCCGGAAUCACUGGGCGUAAAGGGCGCGUAGGCGGCGCGAGCAGUCGAUCGUGAAAGUCCGGAGCUCAACUCCGGAUCGGCGGUCGAUACUCUCGUGCUUGAGCACUGUAGAGGCAGAUGGAAUUCCGGGUGUAGCGGUGGAAUGCGUAGAGAUCCGGAAGAACACCGGUGGCGAAGGCGGCCUGCUGGGCAGUUGCUGACACUGAGGCGCGACAGCGUGGGGAGCAAACAGG
rnacentral:rRNA from 1 species